GAAUGACAAAGGCUGGCGGGUAAAACGGUGGCCUACCCUGAACGAGGGCGGAAGCUUGGUGUUGGCGUUCCCUUGUGGGACCCUGGCUGUAACUAGGAGGUGCUGAUGAUUGGAAGAAUUUUUUUCAGACUAGCUUCUGGCUUCAUACAUUUUCAAAACUUGAUUGACUUCUACUCCCACACGCUUCCGGUCCUGGGUGCAGUAGGACACGUUUAGAUCCUGAUUUGAACACUGGCCUUGCACCUUCAGGUCACGACUUGAGAGAAGGAAACAGAAGCACAGAGCAGUGACAUGACUUGAUCCGUCCACACAGCUGGACUGUGGCAGAGAAUGGAUUUGAACCCAGGUACUGUGCUCCAAGAUCUGGUGUUCUGAAUGACAAUAAGGUAAAAGCUACCAUGGUAGUUGAGGAACUACCGUGUUCCAGAUGCUAGGCUGUUUUCUUUCUUCUGUUCAUAUAUUAUUAAGCAUUACUGCAGCCUUGGGAGAGAGUUAAUAUUAGCCCCAUUUUACAGAUGAGGAAACUGAGCUCAGCACAGAGAAAUCACGUAACCUGCCCAAAGGUCACAGCGGUGAGAGGAUGAGCUAGACCUUGCCAGUGGCCUGGGUGGGUGCAGGUGGCCCCCUGGGGAGCUCCCGAGGCCCCUCUGACAGCGCCCCUUCCUGGCUCUCAGUAACUCCUUCCCUGCCUGCUCCGCUCAGGGACUCUGCACCACCCCUCCCUCAGCCCACACCCCUCAGGCUGGGGGGCUUCUUUCACCUUCUCUGGGUCAGGGUGUUGGUUUGCAGGGCUUGGUCUGAGCAGGGUGUUGGUUUCUGAGGAUUAGUGUCUCAGGAAGUGAGACUGAGGUGAGGCCUGGGAGGGGGACACUGAGUGUACUUUACCCCCGAAAAAGCAAUUACCCAUCAAGCCCCCACUCCCCGCCUCCGGCCGCCCUCAGUGGAAUCCAGUCAACUUCCAGAGGGUUUGGCUGUGGGCUUGGGUGAGGCCUCAGGGCUGUUAUAGUGGCAGAGGGUGGGCAGGCAGAACACAGAAGGUUCUCACUGGAUCUUUUGGGCUCAUGUAAACCACUGAGGCCAGAGAGCCUCGAAACUCUGAAGGAAAUAAGGGUAAGUCUAAAAUGAAGUCGUGAUAGAACAUGAUGGAGGAUAAUGUAAGAAAAAGAACAUAUAUAUACGACUGAGUCAUUUUGCCGUACAGCAGAAAUGGACGGAACAUGGUAAAUCAACUAUAAUUUUAAAAAUAAAAAUAAAUUAAAAAAAAUAAAGUCAGAUCCCUGCCUUGGGUUUGUGUAGCUGAUUUUACUUUUCAAAGUGUUUCUCUGACUGUGAAGAAGGCAGGGCACACAUCGCAGCCCCCACUAGAAAAGCAGGAUAAGAGGUGGGUGGGCAGCCUGGAGACUUUCUGGAGUCCCUCAGAUGCUGUGUGUUUGGUCUAGGCUGGAUGGAACAUUGACAGGACACACAGAUUCCCUGCUGGGGCUGGAUGGAAGCCACAAAGCCUAGUCUCAUGGUGACAGAGGCUGAGAGGGCCUCUCUGGGUCCUCCUGCCAUGAGGGGACCUCUCUAGGCCUCUAUCUUCCCAUCUGUGAAACAGACAGGGAGACAGAGUAGAAAGAAGGCUGGGCUGAGAGUCGGGAAGAUGGGACUCUCACCCAGCUUGGCGGCCAACACUGCAUGAGUGUGAGUGUGUGUGUGUGCGUGUGUGUCUGGGUGUGCUCUCUCUGGUCUCAGCACAGGGAGGUCCCUGCCAGCUCAGGGCUCACGGGCUCAGUGCUCCCUUUCUUCCAGGGGCUGAGGACAGAUGGCUGGGUGUAGGCCCUCAAUGGUUAGGGGUCAACACCCAGCCCUUCCACAGACAGAACGUCUGCCUAUUCAAGCUUCACUCGUACAAAUGCCAUCAGGCCCUGAAGGAUCAGGACUGACCACACAGGUUCUCCCUGCCACCCUGUCCCCGACUCUGACACUGCAGUGGCCUCCUAACUAAUCUCCCAGCCUCUGGCCUGUUUACUGAUCUGGUUUCUCACUAAUCUUCCUUAAGCUCAGAGACCGAUGUUUCCUGCGGUCCUCAGACUGGCCAGGCUGGGCAGGGAGGGGAGCAUUCUGUUCCCACUGGCUCGUCACCUAAUUUCUAAAGUCCUAUUCUUGGUUUCUUCCCUAGGUAUCGAGGCUUGGCUUCCAGAUUUAAAUGACUCGGAGACCUUAGCUUCCCCAAAGGACAGACUCUGAGGUAGGGCAACCUGCCUCAGAAAGUCACGCAGGACAGGGGCUCCAUCACUGUGGGAAACCAGCCGGCCAGGCCCUGAGCUCUUCCUGCUCGUGCUCUCCCAGACCCUGUGCCUUGCCUGCUCACCCCAGCCUAGCCCUCAUGCUCCCCUGUCUAACCUUCCAUGAGCUUCCACAAUGAAGCACUCGAGGAGGGGGUUCUGGAGGGGCCAGGAGGUUAGGGCCAUCCAGAGGCCAGGACAUUUGGCUGACUCACGCACUUGCGCUGGCAUUUGGCUCUGAUGUCCAGUGAGGGGUAUGGAGGGUAGGGUGAGGCAGAAAACCCAAGCCUCUUGAGAAUGUGCCAAGGCUAGUUGAGGCAAGGCCUGGGAGGGGCCCUAAGAAGCCUCAAGUGUAGCUGGGUGGCCCUGCUCUCAAAGACAGAGUCUCUCGGGAGGGGCCGAGUUGAGGUCUCUAGGAGAAAAUCCUUUGACUGUCAUAGCCCUUGCAAGGUUCAGGCCCGUGGGGGUCGGGAGUGCUUCUCACCAGGGGUCUGGGACCUCCUCUGACAUUUCUGGUCUCCCUUCCUCCUCCAGGCAGCCAGGAGGGUGGGGAUCGCUGAGUGAAAUUCUUGUCUAGAUGCAUGAGGGCCCCUCAUGGUGCUGAGAAUUCCCCAAAGGUGAGGGUAGGAGAUGCCAGGAUGGGCAGCUGGAGAGAUCAGGGGUGCCAGGCACUGGUUCUGGGGAUGGGUUGGAGCUAUGGGACCACAGAUUCCAUAGGACAGAACUGAUGCUGGAAGUGGGGUCAGAUUGAGGUCCAGGACCUUGUGCGCUGAGUAAUGGGAAAGUACGGGGGAUCUUAGUUCUUAUGGGGUGGGGCCUCUGAGUGCCUCCAUCCACCUGUAACUGAGGCAGGGGCGGAAUUUGUCCAGCAGCCCCUCCUCAAAUCCCCCCAUCCCAUGGAACCUAGGGGAUGGCUGCAGGUCGUCCCUCCUUGGGGCCAGAGGAUGGGCUGGGGGAUUGACCCCACGUGCUGCUACCAUUGUUUACAAAACCUUCAGGAUGAGCCCAACCAAGGCCUGCUGCUCGCCUAAUGAGACAUUAACGGGUAAUUAGGCGCAGUGGUUCCUCCUCCCCCGUGACUCACAGACAGCUGAUGCUUAAGUCAACUGUGCGGCCAGGCUUUCUUUGCAUCGCUCUGACAGCACCUCAGCCAGACCCGGCCUUUCAGGCGCCCAUUUAUUUUGCAAACAGCUAGGGGGUGCCUACUGCAUGUCCUGCUCUGUUCUAGUCACUGGGAAUGCAGUGAGUCAGAUUUAAAUUCUGCUGGACAUUGAGAACUAUGUCUAGAUACUCAUGUUGCAACAGAAGAAAGGGUGGGGGAAAAAACUGUAAUUGUAAUGUAUACAUGUAAGGAUAACCUGACCCCCUUGCUGUACAGUGGGAAAAUAAAAAAAAAAAAAAAGUUAAAAAAAAUAAAUUCUGCUGGACAGAGACAAAUAAUAAACAAACAAAUCUGGGAAAAUAUAUAGAAUGUCAGAGGAUGAGAAGUGCCAUGGAGAGAAAUAAAGGGUGUCAGGAGCAAUGUGCAUGUGCUUGUGUGUAUGUGUGCGUAUGUGUGUGUACACUCAGGCACAUGAGAUUGUAAAUAAAGCAAACACUUGAUGGAGGGGAGAGAGGGAGCUGUGAGCACAUCGGAAGGAACAGACAGAGGCAACCGAGGUAGAGAGGCCCCAGGCUGGGAGGGAGUGAGCCUGCCGUCCUCAGGAGCAGCAAGGAGUGGGAGGCGGAGUGGGAGGUGGUGAGGUCAGUGAGGGGCUGCAGGCGUGGGGAGAGAUUGCUGGGGGCUAAGCGGAGGAAUGAUGUCACCUCUCUAAUGUUUAACAGGAUCACUCCGGCCGCUGCCAGGGUGGACACAGACUGUAGAGGCAGCACCAGGAGAGACCAUUUCAAGAAUCCAGGGGGAAGGUGAUGGUGACACGAACCAGGGAGUUGCCAUGAAGGUGGAAAGAAGUGGUCAGAGUCUAGAUGGAAGCAGUGCUGACCGACCUCCUCCAUCUGCAAACGUCCCAGGCUGCCUUGGUCUCCUGCCUGGUCUGGCCUGAUGCGUCCCAGAAAGAUCUGAGAGGAGGUAGGGCUCCCCUGGCUCCCUGCCUGCCACCUGCAAAUGUCACGUCAUGCAUCUAUGUGCCCUCCCUGUCCCUCUUCCCAUCCCAGGCUAAUCCCCCCAGCCUCUGGCCCCCCACCCUCCACUGCCCUGCCAUCUCUGUUACUGACACCAUCCUGCUGCUACAUCUUCUCCCUCACAAACCUCCUUGGCCAUUUCUUUUCUUCUUUUCUUUUUUAGGGCUGCACAUGGGGUACAUGGAGGUUCCCAAGCUAGGGGCUGAAUUGGAGCUGCAGCUGCCAGCCUCUGCCACAGCCACACUAACACCAGA